AAUGCUGACAUAAGUAACGAUAAAGCGGGUGAAAAGCCCGCUCGCCGGAAGACCAAGGGUUCCUGUCCAACGUUAAUCGGGGCAGGGUGAGUCGACCCCUAAGGCGAGGCCGAAAGGCGUAGUCGAUGGGAAACAGGUUAAUAUUCCUGUACUUGGUGUUACUGCGAAGGGGGGACGGAGAAGGCUAUGUUGGCCGGGCGACGGUUGUCCCGGUUUAAGCGUGUAGGCUGGUUUUCCAGGCAAAUCCGGAAAACCAAGGCUGAGGCGUGAUGA
rnacentral:rRNA from 1 species